GGCCCCAGAGGAGUCAAGCUCAAGGGCUGCCCCAAUGAGCCGAACUUUGGCUCCCUGUCUGCCCUGGUCUACCAGCACUCCAUCAUCCCUCUGGCUCUGCCCUGCAAGCUCGUCAUUCCAAACCGAGACCCCACAGAUGAAUCCAGAGAUAGCUCGGGCCCUGCCAACUCGACCUCUGACCU
rnacentral:lncRNA from 1 species